rnacentral:sRNA from 1 species
UUUGCCAUGCUAAAACUACUUGUGAGUC